AAGGUUGGAUAUCUUCAGUUUUGUGUUCAUUUUGAACAUUGUAUAUUAUAUAUUAAGAUAUAAUACCACAAAGCCAUUGGAUAAUUACAGAAGAUUUAGUUGGAAGGCACCACAGGAUUAGAAGAAGAAAACCAGUAUUUCAUUUAGUAUCCAUUGUUAGCCCCGCCUCGUGUGCAGCACCUCAUAGUUCUACAAAAUGAGUUGUGUCUUCCGCUUUUACAGCUGAGGAAACAAGAGUGUAAGUAGAUUGCCAAGAUUUAUUUAGAGAGCUAAGAUUUAAAUUUGGGGUUUUAACCUGGCCUCUGGAACCCAUUCUCACCAUGUACCCUGUUUUAUUGAAAGCUGGGUAAAAGAGAUUUGAGUCCAUGCCACCAUUAAAAAUGAAAAUGCCUGAUGACUACUUCAGGGUUGUAAAGCUGUGAAUAUACGUUUUAAUUUGAUCUGCAGAAUCUCGUGAUAGAUAGGGCAGGUGCUAAGAUGCUCAUUGGGAUUGGGGUGAGAAGGUAAGAAUCUGAAUCUCAAGAGAACUGAAGGACUUGCUGGAUGUAACAAAGGCUAGUAAAUGGCAGAACUUGGGAGCGAGUGUAAACUCGCUCCUGGUGACUCCGAGCCUCAUAUACUUUCUCACACCUGUCCUACCAGUUUGUUAGAAGUGCAUUUAAAAGAGCCUGGAGAAGUUAAGUGGAAUAUUUCAGGAUUGUAACAUUUCAUAAAAAGGGCCGAAAACUGCGCCUUUACUUUCACUCCCCCGUCAUCCUUUCUAAGCUGACUCCAGCAGGAAGCUGUGUGGAGCUGAGCACCACCUGGAUGAAGUGUGUUAAUAGUUAGGUUCUGAUCUAAUGAUAUUCAGUAACCCAUAUCUUCAGAGUUUAAUUUUCUUAGGGAAAAAAAAAUGAAUGCCCUGCUUAUUUGAACAUUAAUUAUUCUUUUCAGUGGAUUGAUCCUACUUACUGUAAAGCUUUGUUGAUCUUUUGGCUUAUGUCACCAUGUAAUGUUUAUGUGAUUAAUUUUUGUUUGCAUGAAAAGGAGGUUUUACUUACCACAAGAACAUUUUUAACCUCUUUGCUCUAGAGACAUUUGGAGUUCGAUGGAAGUAUCCUGUGUGAAUACCUGUGGUUUUGAUAGUGAUUGUCGCAGGGUGGGUUUUCUUCUUUCUGGAGGCCAACUUUGCUUUUAUGAUGACCUAUUAUCCCUGCGUGUCUGGCUCUGUCUAGUCAUAUGUAUGGAUCUGUUCUUCCUGUCUGGUCCACCCAGGCUUGGGAAGUAACUUGUCAACCCUGCCCUCAGAGCCUGCUUGAGAGGGUUGGCAAACUCUACUGGUCCUGCUGUGAAUCUCUCAGGCUUGCGAGGGACGACAGAUGGUUGAGCUAAACUGGGAGCCACCCCUCUACGUAAUGAUGAAAAAUGACCAGCCUCCUGGUAAGUGGAAAUCAGGACCAUGCACCUUUUAAUUCUAAUAAACAGGACUUUGAAACAAACAGAGUGAAGAAGGAAGAGGAAACCCUUCCAUAAGUAACCUGUCUUUGUUAGUACUCUUUGUACUUAUUAGUAGGAAAGAUCUUCACGUAUGUAUAUACUAUUGUAUCCAUGUAGUCACUACACAUAGACUGCUGGGACUGAAAAGUAAUCCCGUGUGCCCUUUUGGAUAUAAACAAUCUCUGUAAAAGCCAAAAAAUGUGAGGCAGAUUACAAACAUGGAUGCAGAAUUGCUUUCUGUACUACAUGAGCAGCAUGGGGCCCACUGUUCUUAUGGCUCCUUCCAUAGGUAUCUGCCUUUCCCAUAACUUCAGCUGAAGUUGGGGCCCUCAGCAGCCCUUGAGGCCCCUGCUCUUGUACCUGGCCUCAGUUAAUUGAACCAUUGCUACCUAACUCAGCCGACAACCAAUCUGUAGCCUAGACAAUGAGUGACUUGGACCAGUUACAGAGAACAGAAACAAGUUAAUAGAAGGGAAAGCAGGUAGGCAGAGUAGCUGUGUCAGUAAUAGUGAUACACAGGAGUGAAGACCCAUGAACUUGUGCUGCCUGGCAUCCUUCUAGUUACUUUGGCUCCACUUAUUGUCUCCCUGAAGCAUGUUUUUGGGCUCUUAUCCUUGUCUUCCACUUUACCACUCAUAUCCUUAUGAUGACACUCCCUUGUGUGAGCGGCCUUACAUGAAUCUCAGUCCAUGGUCAAUAUAGUUUCAUAGUUACAAGUGAAAUUAGUCCCUGGAGUCAGCAGCUAAGCUUCAAUAACAGCUUUAUCCGUUCCAAACUGAUGAGCUCUUGUAAGUUCUUUAAUUUCUGAAAGCAUCUUUAUUCUUCCUCUAUAAUAUGAGACAACAGUACCUACCUGAGAAUGCUGGAAGACUUAAUAAAUAACAGAUGUAACCAUUAACAUAAUGCUUGGUACAUGCUCGAAAGAUGUUAGCUGCUGCUGUUAUUAUUAUUAAUAUGUGAUUCUGUUGGGGCCUUUCAACACAUUAAAUGAUGCAAGGCUUUCUUUUGUUUUCCCUAAGCCCGUUGGAACUCUAACCAUUGACUUGAUCACUGUCUACACACCUGAGGCUCUUUUCAGCUGCUCUGUUUCUGAGAGAAACAUCUAACCUACAAAGGGAAUCCCCAAAUCUCACAAGUCUCAGAUUACUAAGGGAUUGUCAUACCUGGAUAAAAUCAUAUUUAUAUGCUGUCUUCCUUAAGUGUAUGCCCACUUUAAAUGUCUCUCUGCCAACUAAUUAUAAAAGGGAAAAGGAGUUUAAGACGUUCCAUUCUGUUUUCCCAAAUGACUGUUGUUGCUCACUGAAAUGCACAAACAUGCUACAGUCUUUUGACCGUAUCUCUUCUCUUUUGAUGACCAGCAUGCUCUAGGUUCUCUCCUGCUGGCACGUGGACCAGGAGAAGUUAGCAGAUACGGUCUUCUUUCUCUGGACGGUUCACCUUUGGCUCAGUGCCCUACAGCUUGUAUACAGGAAAGAGAAGUAAGAAGUAGUUAUUUAAGAGAACUUCCCCACUGUCUGUGCUGUGACCUCCUUCUCUGACAGCCAACUUUUUAAACAAGCAUCUUAAUAUUUCAGCAGAUGGUGCUAAGGUUUGCUGAAACAGCCUACAGUAUUCCCAGUUUGUUCCCACAUUUCUGGAUUCUUUGUAAUUAGCUCGCAACAUGCGUGAAAGUGAGCUCAGAUGUAACCUAAACCCAUGGAACUUGGAAAAAGAAGCAUCUGCCGAGAGGAGCGGGGUUGAUCUUGAUUUGCUUUCAGGGAGUUGCCACGGAGGUGAGCUUUAUGAGAUUAUCAGUGGCUGGAAGUCAUCGCAGCUGUGUUGUGUUGUCUGUCCUGGGUGCCCAUUUGCUUCUAGUUACAAAUCAAGUAUUGGUUUUCAUUUAUAGAGACCUAUGUCAAUUUUGUUCCCACCCUGGUUAUCAUGAAGUCAACUCUGGUUUUCCUGGUUUAUUAUUUGCCAUGGUCUCUGUUCCUACAACUUGUGCCUGUGUCUGGGGACCUCACGUAGAAGGUGUUACAAUUUUAGAAAAAUACUGAGUUAAAUUUUGUAAACCAAUAGUAUAUUCUUAAGAAAACCUUGUAAGGCUGAAUUUAAGCCAAGUACUUCACCGUGUUAGGAUCAGUGAUAUUAUUUUCCUAAUGUUUCAGCUACUUAUACUUUCUUUGUCUAAGAAACAUUUAUUUUACAACCCACGGAGCAAUGCUGGGGAUGUAACUAUUUCUUGAUUGAUUCCUGUGGCACAGCAUCGUCUGCAGAGACCUGCAUUAUGUGAAGCAGCAUCUUCUUUCCCCUUGAUGUUGAAACUGGAUGAAGGAUCUUGUCAGGCUCACAGGGAUUGUCUCCUGGCUUGAUUCAGCUCUUCAGGCCCUGGAGAUGAAGUUCUGUGUCAGGCACCAAGCAUCUGUAUGCGGUAGGCAGCUGGAGGUCACUCUCUUGAUCACCUCUUGUGUGGACAAGUUUUCUUACAAGCAGAAGCCCAUCCCCAGGCAUCCUCUAGUGCUGACUGACGAGAUAGGAGCAAAACUCAUGCAACCUGCCUUUCAGAUGCAAAUAGAACAUUCCUAAGUCCUUUGAGGCACUCUGCCAAUGUGGCUCCUUCCAUUUUGUGGCUCUGCCGGUCUUCUUGAACACAUGGCUCCUGAGGCUGGGGUAGAGACAGCUUCUGGUGGCUGCCCAAGUUCUUGGCUUGUGGCUGCAUCACUCCAGUCUCUGUGACCACAGGCCUUCUCUUGUGUCACCACGUUGCCUUCUGCUUCCCUAUUAUAAGAACACACCUGACUAUAUCUAGAGUUCACCCAGAUAAUCCAAGAUAAUCUCCCCAUCUCAUGAUCCUUAAUCGUAUCUUCAGAAUCCUUUUUAACAUAUAAGUUCUAGUUAGGUGAAAACAUAGCUCUCUAGUAGUUUGCUGCACAUUUCCUGUGAAAGUGAAGAUUCUCCUUUCUUAAUGAAGAGCAGCUCAUAUAUGAUGACAAAACAGAGGCAAGAGAGCAUAUGUUGGAGAACCUGGCGUUCUAUGUCAUGAGAGAAUGAACCAGAAUGGGGCAUAUGCUUCUAACCUGAAGACAAGACUGCAGAAUUGACUAUAUACACAGUCCUGUGUCACUUAAAGACAGGGAUACAUUCUGAGAAAUGCAUCAUGAGGCAGUUUCAUCAUUGUGCGAAUAUCAUGGAGUGUCCUUACACAAAGCUAGACGGCACGGUCUUCCCAUUUCCCAGAUGAAGAAACUGAAGCAAAAAGAUACAUCACUGGCUUAUCUGAUUAGACACAGCAGAGUAAGGCAUCUGCCCCAGGCAGUAAGUUUCGGAGCAAGGAUGAAUUCUAUGGUAUACUGCCCGUAUUCUGAAUAUAUGACUUUUAAUCUUGAUUCCUUUCACUUAACCCUUUAAAUUCAAAAAUUUCUCAUGUUAUUAACAACUCUUAACUGUGGUUUGCAGAUCAUGUAGGUGGUACAAGUGUCACCAUUUUCUUUUUGCCACAUUUAUGCCAAAAAUUAUAAUGACCUCUUUAUCAUUGAGAAGAGGUAUGUUAGAAAUAGAAACUCUUUAGCUUAAAAAUGAAGUUAGCAUAAGGCUAGUUUAUUAAUAGAGAUGGAGGGUGUGGGAGCAAGUGUCAGAUACAUUUGUAAAGUUAUUUACUUGGAACUUGAAGCUAAUUUUUCUGGAAAGUAAUAUGAUACAUAACUGGACCUUCAGUAGCCCCCAUCUUCCCACAUACCUAUUUUCCCUGCAAAGUAAUGGAAAUAGUAAAUGCUGUUAGUAUGUUGAGGUUCAACCCAAGAGCUUAUGUGUAAGGGAAAAAAAAUACCCCCUAGGGAGUGCAACUAUAAAAUUAGUAUAAAAUUGAUCAGAACAGAGAUAUGCAAAGUUACCUUUAAGAAGCAAAAUAGCUUUGGGGCCUAUAAGAAUGUUACUCAAAGAAGGGAAACUCAGUUCUUAGCCCUGGAAGAACUGAGAAAUUAGCCCCUUGAACAACCACUGGCAGCAUCCCCAGGUGGUACUACAUAUUGUAGAGGGAGCUUUAGCCAAUGACUGCUGAAAGAUCUGUCUCUCUGGAAAAUAGAUGCAUCAGCCUGUUUUAGGGAGUAUAGCUAAAAUCAGCUAACUCUCUUGUUUUAUUUGCAUACUCGCCUAAUAACUUCUGGUUAAAAUUGGGCUUCUUAUAUAGAUCUACAGGGAGACAUUUCUCUGGUUUUGUUGCCACAAGUAUUACAGCUCUGUCAUAAUUAUGUUUAUUAUUGUAAAUUAAAAGAUAGGUGUUGCAGUUCUA
rnacentral:lncRNA from 1 species